UACGUAGGGAGCAAGCGUUGUCCGGAAUCAUUGGGCGUAAAGCGCGCGUAGGCGGCUCGAUCAGUCUGCUGUGAAAGUCAAAGGCUCAACCUUUGAAUGCCGGUGGAUACUGUCGAGCUAGGGUCCGGAAGAGGCGGGUGGAAUUCCCGGUGUAGCGGUGGAAUGCGCAGAUAUCAGGAGGAGCACCAACGGCGAAGGCAGCCCGCUGGGACGGUACUGACGCUAAGGCGCGAAAGCGUGGGGAGCGAACAGG
rnacentral:rRNA from 1 species